rnacentral:rRNA from 1 species
UAGGGAAUCUUCCACAAUGGACGCAAGUCUGAUGGAGCAACGCCGCGUGAGUGAAGAAGGUUUUCGGAUCGUAAAGCUCUGUUGUUGGUGAAGAAGGAUAGAGGCAGUAACUGGUCUUUAUUUGACGGUAAUCAACCAGAAAGUCACGGCUAACUACGUGCCAGCAGCCGCGGUAAUACGUAGGUGGCAAGCGUUGUCCGGAUUUAUUGGGCGUAAAGCGAGCGCAGGCGGAAUGAUAAGUCUGAUGUGAAAGCCCACGGCUCAACCGUGGAACUGCAUCGGAAACUGUCAUUCUUGAGUGCAGAAGAGGAGAGUGGAAUUCCAUGUGUAGCGGUGGAAUGCGUAGAUAUAUGGAAGAACACCAGUGGCGAAGGCGGCUCUCUGGUCUGCAACUGACGCUGAGGCUCGAAAGCAUGGGUAGCGAACAGA